rnacentral:rRNA from 1 species
CCUACGGGUCGCAGCAGUGAGGAAUCUUGCACAAUGGGCGAAAGCCUGACGCAGCGACGCCGCGUGAGGGAUGAAGGCCUUCGGGUUGUAAACCUCUGUCAGGGGGGAAGAAUCCGGAGCCGGUGAAUACCCGGCUCCAUUGACGGUACCCCCAGAGGAAGCACCGGCUAACUCCGUGCCAGCAGCCGCGGUAAGACGGAGGGUGCAAACGUUGUUCGGAAUCACUGGGUGUAAAGGGCGCGUAGGCGGACUUGUAAGUCGGGAGUGAAAACUCGGGCUCAACCCCGAGCCUGCUUCCGAAACUGCGAGUCUUGAGGACCGGAGAGGAAAGUGGAAUUCCUAGUGUAGCGGUGGAAUGCGUAGAUAUUAGGAAGAACACCAGUGGCGAGGGCGACUUUCUGGACGGUUCCUGACGCUGAGGCGCGAAAGCUAGGGGAGCAAACAGGAUUAGAUACCCUCGUAGUC